rnacentral:rRNA from 1 species
UACGUAGGGUGCAAGCGUUAAUCGGAAUUACUGGGCGUAAAGCGUGCGCAGGCGGUUAUGUAAGACAGAUGUGAAAUGCCCGGGCUUAACCUGGGGACUGCAUUUGUGACUGCAUGGCUAGAGUGUGUCAGAGGGGGGUAGAAUUCCACGUGUAGCAGUGAAAUGCGUAGAGAUGUGGAGGAAUACCGAUGGCGAAGGCAGCCCCCUGGGAUAACACUGACGCCCAUGCACGAAAGCGUGGGGAGCAAACAGG